GAAAAAAAAAAAAAAAAAGGACAUACAAUUUUAAAAUAAAAUAAAAUAUUUCAAAAUGUAAGACAAAUCUACAUUCAUCAAAGUGCACUGUAAGCCUUCAGUCUGAAGUGUUGGAUCAUAAAAUAUUCUCAAGGAUAAAUUAUAAAGAAAAAAAUUGACAGCUGUCAAAACUAAACCCUUUCUAGCUUUCAUGUAAUACAUCAUUUAUAUGUUAUAUAUUUCAUUAUUUCUAGCAUCAAAUCUCCCCCAAACUUUAUCCCUAUAAACAAGUGUUUCCCAAACUAUGUUCUGCCAGGCCUGAAUGGUUGUUCCCACUAACUAGUAGUCCAACACAUGAAUUAAUCUUCAUCAAAAAAUCAGCUAAGUGUUCCACGCUCAAAAUGUGCGAAGUGUUUCGUUAAAGAAAAUGUUUCGGAACCACUAGUUUCAAAGAUGUGUGAAAUAGUAACUGUAGUGUACUAGUUGCACCAAGCAAUUAAGACAUGAUAGAUGUACAUUCUGUACUUAGGGGACAAAAAAAAGUUCUUCAUUAAAACAAAUCAGCAGGGCAAGCUGACAUGACUAGGAUAGUUUAACUUAAAUGUUUUUAGUGCUUUUACUUUAAAAAAAAAAAUUAUUACUUUAAAAAAAUUGGUCUGAUUUCAAUUUAAAAAAAAAAAAAAAAAAAGAUUCUUACAAGAUAACCAAAAACAAACUAGACCAUAAAAGUUCAAAUGUAGCUUGAUUUUAACCAAUUGAAAGUCUCUACACAGGUUCAAAUGUAGCUUGAUUUUAACCAAUUGAAAGUCUCUACACAGGUUCAAAUGUAGCUUGAUUUUAA